UUUGUUCUUUGAAAAUUGAAAGGAAUCAGAUAACAAAAUUAUAGAAAAUAGUUAACUGAAGUUUCACAUUGUCAUGUUAGAAACACAAAUAUUUGAAAUGUGAUGACAGAGAAGGUCACAGCCACACUAUUAAAUACAGCACCAUCGAAGGCGGAGUGAGAAAGACACUUGCUGCAGGAUACCCUCUAAGUGGGUGCAGCAUAGAAGGUGGUAUCUUCAGUCCCUAUCAGACACUGCUCUUGCCCUUCCUGCUAGCUGGGAGAAGUUGGACACUCACAGUGUUUGGAUACCUGGUGGAGAGAAAGUGCUGGAAGAGUCCACAGAGGAAAAGGGUACUAAAAUAUCUCAGCACUGCCAAUAUGCCAUUCAUCCUUACUUAAGACAGCUGUAAAACUGACUGAUGGGCUGCCUGAAUAAUAUUUCUGUACAAUUGUUUGUUCUUUAUUUGUCAUAAACUUUAUUAAAUCCUAAAGCUUUGAUCUUGGACAUGAUUUUUCUUCCAUUAACCUCAAAAAUAUCUCAGAAAGAUUAGUAAGCAUUAUUAUCUUUUAUACACAAAAAAAUCACAUACCAAGUUUAAGGAUGUACAGGUUCUGUUCAGGGCGAGAGAGAGAGAGGUGAGGAAGUUGCUUUUUGCAGUUACCGGAAAGCUGUUACUCCCCACCUGCAGGUGACCAUUAGCAUGGGAAGCAAAGGAUCACUUACUCUUUUUUCUGAGUUAACUUUAAAUCUAUCUUGGAGCAAAGAAACACACAACACUACGUAAUGAAAUGAAUUCUAAGUCACUGAAAACAUAUGUUACAAAGGUGCUAAACGUGACUGCAAAAAAAGCUUCAUCUGAGUUGUAUUUCUGUGUUCAGAUUCUUCUUCCAAAGAGUUAAUGAAGCUACACAGCUCCUUUAACCCUGCUGAGAGUCAUUGAUCUGAUCUGGCUAGCCUGCAGGUUCUCACAAAGGAGAUAGCUGGACAACAGCUGUAUUAUUAACAGCAGAGGACGGUUGGUUGCAGAAGAAAGGUGGAAGGUAGGAAUUUGAACUAUUUUCUACAAGGAAAGCUUUGCCAGAUUAUUUUCAACUGAUUCUAGCAAACCCCAGGGACACUGACUUGGAUGAGACAACUCAUGUGCGAUUCAGUAUCUUGUUCCAAGAAUGUAGCGUCAAUCCCCUGCUGGACACAGCCAAGUGGGUGAACAGUGAAGUCAUUAAAAAGGGAAAGAGCUUUGGAUAAUAAUAAAAAAAAAGACUCAGGUGAGUUCAAAAGAGUUGUAUCCUUCGUUGGUGUAGAUUUUCACCCUAUGGCACAGGGUGCUUCCUAGGAUGAGCAGCUGUAGAAUAAAGUCUUAGUGAAGAAUAAAACCUUAGUGGCAACAUCUAUCGUACUAUGUGAGCGGAGAAUAGCAGUUUCUGAAACCAUUAAAAAAUAACUGCAUGCCAGGACACUUUGCUAGAAGAAAUGCUAUGAUAAGACUGUGGCCCCGGCAUGGCUUCCCCUCAUCCUGCCCAUAGUCCAGGGCUCUGUGUCUGCCCCAGGGAACAUCAGGCCCUGCCCGAGCAAUGUUGUUUGAUUGUGCAAGAUAUUCAAGAAAUGUACUCAUCUUGCCUUCAGCUAAUAAACAUACCUGUUUGAGUGUUUAACAAGCACACCAGGCAAAAAAAUAGUAGCUUAUUAAUUUUGCAACAGUGGAUACUGAUAUUUAUGAAGUAGACAAAUUAUUGCUUUUUUUUCAUCUUUAAUAUGCAUGUCCUGUCUUAAAUUUAGAUAAAAUUACUGCGUGUCAUAUAGUUCAACCUGCUACUCAAAGCAGGGUUAGAUGAAAAUUGGAUCCAUCUGUGCUGGACCUUGUCUAGCUGAGUUUUGAAAGUUUCUAAGGUUGGAGAUUUCACAAUCCUUUUGAUGAUCUUAUUUCAGUGUUUAACCCUCUCAUUGUAAGAUUUCUUUUUUUAAAGUAAUGCAGUUUCAAAAUGUGAUGAUUUCAAAAGGUAAUGAAAAAGAAAACUGGAAAAAACCUGGGAAAAAAUUAUUAAUUAAAACAAGUAUUUCAAUUAUACAUUUUCUCACUGUUCAUUUUUGAAUGAAAGGAAAACCAAAAAAACACAAGAAUAAUAAACAAACCAAAUGCCCAAAUUAAAUAUUCUGGAUCAUUCUAACAGGUAUUUUAUUUGAUUGCAAAAAAAGUUUAUGUUUUUUUGCUGUAAGAAAAAAAAUAUUUAGCCAAAAUUAAAAACCAGUUAUUCAUGCAAUCAUCUAGACUAUUUUGAUUCUACUUAUAUAUUACUCAAAGAAAAAUUGUGUUGCCUUCUGUGUCCAAGAGUGUAUAUGUUCUGGGUUGAUUAAGAAUAUAUUCUUAUAUUUUUUUUUGUUAAUACUUUAACUUUGUAGUUCAGACUUAAAGAAUUGCUUAGUAGUCAGCAGAAGCAAUCAGUUUGUCAUAUUCACUUUACAGUUGUAAGAAACAGUAUUAGUAAAUCAGAGAAUUGGAAGACUUGCAAAUAAUGUCAAGAAAACUGCAGACGAUGUUCAAUAAGGGAAGGACUGCACAUAUGCUGAAAGACUAACAGAAUGCAAAAUGAUCAUGACAAACUGGAAAAAGUAGUCUUAAAAGACUGUGAUAUUUAACGAAGUAAAAUGGAAGAACCACUCCAACAAUCUACUUCAGUAGUACAGAAUGGAGAAUUGAAAAGCUGUCAGAAGUGAAAUAUUUUGGGAUUAUAAUGGCCAAUGAAAAGAAUUUUAGCACAGUAGUAUUGUGCUCCAGAGCUACAGGUGAACAGCCUGUAGCAUAUGAAGAGGGUCAUAGCCUACAUAACAUAAAAUCUUCCCUCCUCUUCAAAAUUCAGUUGAAGUGCUGUGCAAGUUUGAAGCUCUGCUCUUCAUGAAAGAUAUGGAGUAGUUGCUGAGUGGAAAAAAGAGAAUUCUGAGACAAGGCAUGGAUCUCUUCAGAAAGGAUACUGAUGAGAGGAAGUGAGCAAGGUGUUUUCCCCCUUAGAACUUAGACUUAGAACACACUUUAAUUACAAUACCUUCUAGGUUAGGCCUAGCAAAAAAAUAUUACCUAAAAUCUUACCUUCCUGGAAAGUGAUGCUAUUAUGGCAAGUUUUACCAGAUGACUUAUUAGAAUCUGUAAUAUCUCUUCAUCAUUAUAAACGGCAUUUUAUUAUUUUAAUUUCUGAAAUAAAAUCUGUUUUCAGAGUCUGUGUCCAGAUAUCAUUUUACUCUUAAGUGGCUAUGAGUACUUUGAUUAACAAUAUG